AGGACGAACGCUGGCGGCGUGCUUAACACAUGCAAGUCGAACGAGGCCUUGUGCCUAGUGGCGAACGGGUGAGUAACACGUGAGCAACCUGCCCCUGGCUCUGGGAUAGCCUCCGGAAACGGGGAUUAAUACCGGACAUGACCUGCCUCCGCAUGGUGGCGGGUGGAAAGUUUUUCGGCCGGGGAGGGGCUCGCGGCCUAUCAGCUUGUUGGGGGGGUAACGGCCCACCAAGGCGACGACGGGUAGCCGGCCUGAGAGGGCGACCGGCCACACUGGGACUGAGACACGGCCCAGACUCCUGCGGGAGGCAGCAGUGGGGAAUAUUGCACAAUGGGGGGAACCCUGAUGCAGCGACGCCGCGUGCGGGAUGAAGGCCUUCGGGUUGUAAACCGCUUUCACCAGGGACGAAGCGAGAGUGACGGUACCUGGGGAAGAAGCGCCGGCUAACUACGUGCCAGCAGCCGC
rnacentral:rRNA from 1 species